UUAUGCCCUAAGUCUCAAAAACCAUGACAAUAACAAUAACAGUAAAUAACAACACUACAUUAUACCCUAAGUCUCAACAACCAUGACAAUAACAAUAACAACAACAAUAACAAUGACGACAACAACAACAACAACAACAACGAUAAUAACAACAAUAACAACAAAAAUAACAAAAACAACUACAAAAACAUCAACAAAAAUAACAAUGAAAGAGUUUUACAUACCAGAAACGUGAUGAGAGAGUCAAAAAAAGUCUUGGGUUGAGGUUCUAGCUUUCUUC
rnacentral:lncRNA from 1 species